rnacentral:rRNA from 1 species
UGUCCCAUAAGACCACAAGACGGCAUCGUCCAGGGGUCAAAGCUCCGCAAGGGGCGCUUGAGGAGGAACCCGAGUCCUAUCAUGGUAGUUGGUGAGGUAACGGCUCACCAAGCCUACGACGGGUAGCCGGCCUGAAAGGGUGAUCGGCCACACUGGCACUGAGACACGGGCCAGACUCCUACGGGAGGCAGCAGUGGGGAAUUUUGGACAAUGGGGGCAACCCUGAUCCAGCGACGCCGCGUGGAGGACGAAGGUCUUCGGAUUGUAAACUCCUUUCGGAGGGGAUGAAUGUCUGCGUGAAUAACGCAGAGUGACAGUACCCUCUGAAUAAGCCACGGCUAACUACGUGCCAGCAGCCGCGGUAAUACGUAGGUGGCAAGCGUUACUCGGAAUCACUAGGCGUAAAGCGCAGGUAGGCGGUUCGGUAAGUCUUUUGUGAAAGCUCCUGGCUCAACUGGGAGAGGUCAAGGGAAACUGCCGGGCUAGAGUGUGGUAGGGGAUACUGGAAUUCCUGGUGUAGCGGUGAAAUGCGUAGAUAUCAGGAGGAAUACCUAUGGCGAAAGCAGGUAUCUGGGCCAUCACUGACGCUGA